GAUGAACGCUGGCGGCGUGCCUAAUACAUGCAAGUCGAGCGAAUGGAUUAAGAGCUUGCUCUUAUGAAGUUAGCGGCGGACGGGUGAGUAACAUGUGGGUAACCUGCCCAUAAGACUGGGAUAACUCCGGGAAACCGGGGCUAAUACCGGAUAACAUUUUGAACCGCAUGGUUCGAAAUUGAAAGGCGGCUUCGGCUGUCACUUAUGGAUGGACCCGCGUCGCAUUAGCUAGUUGGUGAGGUAACGGCCCACCAAGGCAACGAUGCGUAGCCGACCUGAGAGGGUGAUCGGCCACACUGGGACUGAGACACGGCCCAGACUCCUACGGGAGGCAGCAGUAGGGAAUCUUCCGCAAUGGACGAAAGUCUGACGGAGCAACGCCGCGUGAGUGAUGAAGGCUUUCGGGUCGUAAAACUCUGUUGUUAGGGAAGAACAAGUGCUAGUUGAAUAAGCUGGCACCUUGACGGUACCUACCAGAAAGCCACGGCUAACUACGUGCCAGCCGCCGCAGUAA
rnacentral:rRNA from 1 species